CGAAGAAGUUGAGUAUGAUUUGAGUGUCAUACUCAGUUCUGCCAAACUCAGACCUCUAGCCUGGAUCUGUGUUUUCCGAUGGUCUUAGGUCGUGACCCCUGUGAAGGGGUCAUUAGACCCACAGAUUGUGGACCACUGCUCUUUGAGGUCCUGUCUUACAGAGAAGGAAGGGAGUGUACACACAUGCAUUCAGGUACCCAUGGAGACCAGAAGAGGGCACAGAACCACCCUGUACAGGUGCUGGGAACAGAAGUCAGAUCCCCCAGCAGCAGAAAGCUUAGCUGAGAACACAGGCUCUGGGACAAGAGGAGGCACACGCAGCCAGGCUCAUUUCUGACCCUUUGCUGAACUCAGUCUUGCCCCUGCCCAGAUCAAGGGCUAAGCCAGUACUCAUCGUCAGCACAACAGUGUCAGACAGAGGAAGACUGUGGCUGCUCUAAUUGCUAAGAAGUCUCUUGCCCUCAAAGCUCUGAAGCACCAAAGCCUGAAUCCUUCCCUAGAAACAUCGACCUCUCUCAGGCCCAGUCACGCCCACUGCCCCAGUGCAGCAACCGGGAGAACAGACCUUGUUGCCCGUCAUCGAGCGCCAUGGAGAGGAGGAUGAGAGGAGACUUGCCUAUGCAUGAGGGCUUCUAGCUCACAUACACGUCCUCAGCCUUCUUGUGAUGGCGUGACUUUCCAUCCUCAGUCUUGUGGUUUACUGAGAUGUGGGCGCGUGCGUGCGUGGUGGGCAGGGACAGAUGCCCUCCUCUCUCAGACCAUUCCCCCUCCUUGGCUGGACUGCUUCUGUGUUCCCUGGAGAUGACAGCUAGGAACCAGCCACCAGCUUCUGUUGUUCCCUGGGUUCCCUUUGGGCUUGGCCAGUGUGAGGCAGGGGCAGGAAAUCAGAGGUUGGGUGGGAGAACAUCUCUUUCCCUUUGCUACCUUUGCUGCUGCCAUGUUUUGUCCCUGACAGGGGCUAUGCCCCUCCAUUCCGUGGCUCUCCCAGGUGACAUCCUCUAGGGUCCCAGCUCUCACCAGGCCAGUGACAUUAUUUCUUUCCUUGGCUCCUCUGGGCUCCAGGAUGAUAGCAACUUCCUGUUGUUACCAGUCUCCAGUGGAGGGUGGGGAGGGCCCAGCAUUCCUGGCACCUCCCAGCCACUGUCCCACCACUGUCUCCUGCCACCCAGGGUUAAAUCACCUCACUUGUUUUAUCUUUCUAUU